rnacentral:rRNA from 1 species
UGAGGAAUAUUGCGCAAUGGGCGAAAGCCUGACGCAGCGACGCCGCGUGGAGGAUGAAGGCCUUCGGGUUGUAAACUUCUGUUAAGUGGGAAGAAAUCCUGAUUUCUAAUAAAAAUCGGGGAUGACGGUACCAUUAGAGAAAGCACCGGCUAAUCUCGUGCCAGCAGCCGCGGUAAUACGAGAGGUGCAAGCGUUAUUCGGAAUUAUUGGGCGUAAAGGGUGUGUAGGCGGCUUGCCAAGUCCAUUGUUAAAUCUUAUGGCCUAACCAUGAGCUUGCGAUGGAAACUGGCUUGCUUGAGGGAGAAAGAGAGAGGUGGAAUUCUCGGAGUAGCGGUAAAAUGCGUAGAUCUCGAGAGGAACACCAAUGGCGAAAGCAGCCUCUUUGGUCUUACCUGACGCUGAGACACGAAAGCGUGGGGAGCAAACAGG